CUAGUGACAGAGUGAGGGAGGGGGUGACUAGUGACAGAGUGAAGGAGGUGGUGACUGUCACUAGUCACCCCCUCCCUCUCUCUGUCACUAGUGACACCCUCCCUCACUCUGUCACUAGUCACCCCCUCCCUCACUGUCACUAGUCACCCCCUCCCUCUCUCUGUCACUAGU